rfam:Ornithorhynchus anatinus chromosome X5, whole genome shotgun sequence.
UCCCUCUCAGGGCCGCACCUGGAGAGUUUCUAGUAUUCUACCAGCCUAGGCUAGGGGAGGGAGAGUCAAGCAGAGGCCUACCCAUUCCAUUCCUAGCUUGGGCAGUGGCUAGCAAGUGGAAGGCGAUCUGCUACAAGU